GACGAACGCUGGCGGCGUGCCUAAUACAUGCAAGUCGAACGCAUUUUCUUUCACCGUAGCUUGCUACACCGAAAGAAAAUGAGUGGCGAACGGGUGAGUAACACGUGGGUAACCUGCCCAUCAGCGGGGGAUAACACUUGGAAACAGGUGCUAAUACCGCAUAAUUCCAUUUACCGCAUGGUAGAUGGGUGAAAGGCGCUUUUGCGUCACUGAUGGAUGGACCCGCGGUGCAUUAGCUAGUUGGUGGGGUAACGGCCUACCAAGGCUGCGAUGCAUAGCCGACCCGAGAGGGUGAUCGGCCACACUGGGACUGAGACACGGCCCAGACUCCUACGGGAGGCAGCAGUAGGGAAUCUUCGGCAAUGGACGCAAGUCUGACCGAGCAACGCCGCGUGAGUGAAGAAGGUUUUCGGAUCGUAAAACUCUGUUGUUAGAGAAGAACAAGGAUGAGAGUGGAAAGUUCAUCCCUUGACGGUAUCUAACCAGAAAGCCACGGCUAACUACGUG
rnacentral:rRNA from 1 species